GUUGGGUUAGCUUAGCUCAUAGAGCAGAGGACUGAAAAUCCUAGUGUCACGAGUUCAAAUCUGGUUCCUGGUA
rnacentral:tRNA from 1 species